ACAGUUGUUUCUGUGCUCCCUCUUAGUGCUCUGAAAUCUUGGGCUCCUCUCCCUCUUGAUUGCUGGCUGAAAAUCUUGGCUUGGCACUCCCAAGCUGCACACCACAGCUCUGGGACAAUCUCAAGCUUUAUAUCCCUUCCCAUCUUGGAGGAAUCAGAGGAAGGAAAGUUAGCAGUGGUUGUGACAGAGGGUUUUUCACUUGUCUCUUGGAGCUCCACCUCAGAAAGACGCAGAGCUGCUAUCAAUCAGUAUGAUUGGCCUAGGAUGGGGCAGCUGUGCUGUGAGACCAAGCAUAGAGAAAAGGCCAUAUGAGUACACAGCCAGAAGGUGUCUGCCUACAAGACAAAGAGGGAAAACUUACCUGAAACCAACCCUGAUGGAUAUUGGAUUUCUAAGCUCCAGAACUGUGAGAAAAUUAAUUUUAUGUGCUUUAAGACACUCAAUUUGUGGUAUUCUGUUAUGGCAGCCUAUGCUAGUCAAUUUGCAUUACCAUAAAGCAACACCUGAGAGUGGGUAAAUUAUAAAGAAAAGAAGUUGAAUCGGCUCAUGGUUCUGCAGGCAGUACAGAAGCAUAGUGCUGGCAAUUGCCCCUGGCAAGGGGCUCAGGAAGCUUACAAACAUGGCAGAAGGCAAAGGGAAGCCAACAUAUCACACGUAAGCUCAGGAAGCUUACAAACAUGGCAGAAGGCAAAGGGAAGCCAACAUAUCAC
rnacentral:lncRNA from 1 species